CAGGCCCCGGGAGCGUCCUCGCCCAGCCCGCCCUGUCCAGGUCACCUCGAGAAUUUCCUCCAGGGGUGCCCUCGGGUAGGAGCAGAGCCCAGACAGCAACCUCAAACACGGGAUGGCUAAAGAGCCAGCCAUAAAGAGGUUCUCUGACCUACCUUGUCUGAUAGUGGCUCUCAAGACUUUUGUUCCAGAGUGGCCCUGCACCGUAUCCUGGAGGAAGGAAUACCACACAGAGAGGCCAAGAAGAAUUUGAACAGACACAUCUUGCCAGGUUUCUCCUCUCUAUUACCAUUAGGUUGAUCAUAUCCUUUUUGCCCAAUCGCAUUUCUGCCUGGCUGUCUGCUCUGCAUCAAACCUAAACAUCAAAAUAGGCAGCUUUUCC
rnacentral:lncRNA from 10 species